rnacentral:rRNA from 1 species
AUCAACGCUGGCGGCGUGCCUCAGACAUGCAAGUCGAACGAUUAAACUUUCCUUCGGGAGAGAUAUAAAGUGGCGCACGGGUGAGUAACACGUAGGUAAUCUACCUUUGAGUGGGGAAUAACAAUCGGAAACGAUUGCUAAUACCGCAUAAUGCAGCGGCAUCAUAAGAUGACAGUUGUUAAAGCGAGCAAUCGCGCUUAAAGAGGAGCCUGCGGCAGAUUAGCUAGUUGGUAAGGUAAUGGCUUACCAAGGCUACGAUCUGUAACCGACCUGAGAGGGUGGUCGGUCACACUGACACUGAAUAACGGGUCAGACUCCUACGGGAGGCAGCAGUCGGGAAUUUU